UACGUAGGGUGCGAGCGUUAAUCGGAAUUACUGGGCGUAAAGCGUGCGCAGGCGGUGAUGUAAGACAGAUGUGAAAUCCCCGGGCUCAACCUGGGAACUGCAUUUGUGACUGCAUCGCUGGAGUGCGGCAGAGGGGGAUGGAAUUCCGCGUAUAGCAGUGAAAUGCGUAGAUAUGCGGAGGAACACCGAUGGCGAAGGCAAUCCCCUGGGCCUGCACUGACGCUCAUGCACGAAAGCGUGGGGAGCAAACAGG
rnacentral:rRNA from 1 species